GGGGCAAAUUCCUCAAUCGUUAGUGAGAAGAAUAGAUGCCAGAAGCCUGGGACUGUUCCUAGUCUGACUGCAGGUCUGGGUAGCUCAUUUGAUGUGUCCUGAAACCGUUUAAAGCAACAUCACCACUAGUCAAGAGAUAUUAAAGCUGCAAGGGGUUAAAUAUUUGUGGCUGAACAGACAGAAAAGAAUUUCCCUUGAUGUACCAUUUCUGCUGCUGAGGAACCACCAUCACUGAAGAAAGGGCAGAGAGCCUGAGAGAGGCAAUGAAAGGGCCAAGGAACAGUUAAGGAAUACUAAAAGUAGAAGCAAGAGGAAAUGACAAGACUAGUCACUUGCCUGAGGUCAGGAUCUGGGGCAUAAGUGGGUAAGGACAAGCUACUCUUAGAGAGUUCAUUGAGAGACAUGGAAGAAAGUGAGCUAAGCAGGGGGAAACAUCUGGCUGGGAAGGUAAAGAAAUGGGCAUAACUUCCAUUCUUCUGUAAGUUCUUGAACUUCCACUUUAUA